rnacentral:rRNA from 1 species
AUUGAACGCUGGCGGAAUGCUUUACACAUGCAAGUCGAACGGCAGCACGGGGGCAACCCUGGUGGCGAGUGGCGAACGGGUGAGUAAUACAUCGGAACGUGCCCAGUCGUGGGGGAUAACGUAGCGAAAGCUACGCUAAUACCGCAUACGAUCUACGGAUGAAAGCGGGGGAUCGCAAGACCUCGCGCGAUUGGAGCGGCCGAUGGCAGAUUAGGUAGUUGGUGGGGUAAAGGCUCACCAAGCCUUCGAUCUGUAGCUGGUCUGAGAGGACGACCAGCCACACUGGGACUGAGACACGGCCCAGACUCCUACGGGAGGCAGCAGUGGGGAAUUUUGGACAAUGGGCGAAAGCCUGAUCCAGCCAUUCCGCGUGCAGGAUGAAGGCCCUCGGGUUGUAAACUGCUUUUGUACGGAACGAAACGGCCUUUUCUAAUACAGAGGGCUAAUGACGGUACCGUAAGAAUAAGCACCGGCUAACUACGUGCCAGCAGCCGCGGUAAUGUA